rnacentral:rRNA from 1 species
UACGUAGGGUGCAAGCGUUAAUCGGAAUUACUGGGCGUAAAGCGUGCGCAGGCGGUUAUAUAAGACAGAUGUGAAAUCCCCGGGCUCAACCUGGGAACUGCAUUUGUGACUGCAAGGCUGGAGUACGGCAGAGGGGGAUGGAAUUCCGCGUGUAGCAGUGAAAUGCGUAGAUAUGCGGAGGAACACCAAUGGCGAAGGCAAUCCCCUGGGCCUGUACUGACGCUCAUGCACGAAAGCGUGGGGAGCAAACAGG